rnacentral:rRNA from 1 species
UACGUAGGGGGCGAGCGUUGUCCGGAGUUACUGGGCGUAAAGGGCACGCAGGCGGUCAUGUAAGUCUGUUCUGACAGCUCCUGGCUCAACCGGGAGAGGCGAACGGAAACUGCAUGACUUGAGGACUUCAGAGGGACACGGAAUUCCGGGUGGAGUGGUGAAAUGCGCAGAUAUCAGGAGGAACACCGAUGGCGGAAGGCAGGUCUCUGGGCAUUAACUGACGCUGAGGAGCGAAAGCAUGGGGAGCGAACAGGG